CAGCCGCCGCGGGAACACGUAGGGUGCAAGCGUUAAUCGGAAUUACUGGGCGUAAAGCGUGCGCAGGUGGUUCUAUAAGACAGAUGUGAAAUCCCCGGGCUCAACCUGGGAACUGCAUUUGUGACUGUAGAGCUGGAGUGCGGCAGAGGGGGAUGGAAUUCCGCGUGUAGCAGUGAAAUGCGUAGAUAUGCGGAGGAACACCGAUGGCGAAGGCAAUCCCCUGGGCCUGCACUGACGCUCAUGCACGAAAGCGUGGGGAGCAAACAGGAUUAGAUACCCCUGUAGUCCCUGUCUCUUAUAC
rnacentral:rRNA from 1 species